UUAACGAGGAACAAUUGGAGGGCAAGUCUGGUGGAACUUCAGCUCCCACUGCUGACGCCAGCGAUAGUCGGGCACCUUUUGGGGUGUUAUGCCGGCUAGUCGAGUACCCACCGCACUGAUGGGGGGGUACCGGCAAGACAACCUGGGUCGGGGAAGGCUAAGGGGCUUAUGGCCCUACGCUGAUCCCGAGCAGAGCUACCGCGGGGCGACCCGCCAUGUAGCCUGUGUAGAGCGCGCAAAGGUGUCGGCCAGCUCCAGUAGUUGGCUUAAGGGACGUGCCAUUCCCGCCCGAAAGGGCGGCUGCCUGUUUCGAGCGCCCAUCACGCAAGAACUGGCAGGCCUAGAGCAGUGGCUCUAGGCGUCGACGAAAAGGCCAGCAGCCGCGGUAAUUCCAGCUCCAAUAGCGUAUAUUAAAGUUGUUGCAGUUAAAAAGCUCGUAGUUGAACCUUGGGCCUGGCUGGCCGGUCCGCCUCACCGCGUGUACUGGUCCGGCCGGGCCUUUCCUUCUGGAGAACCGCAUGCCCUUCACUGGGUGUGUCGGGGAACCAGGACUUUUACUUUGAGAAAAUUAGAGUGUUCAAAGCAGGCCUUUGCUCGAAUACGUUAGCAUGGAAUAAUAGAAUAGGACGUGCGGUCCUAUUUUGUUGGUUUCUAGAACCGCCGUAAUGAUUAAUAGGGAUAGUCGGGGGCGUCAGUAUUCAAUUGUCAGAGGUGAAAUUCUUGGAUCUAUUGAAGACUAACUACUGCGAAAGCAUUCGCCAAGGAUGUUUUCAUUAAUCAGUGAACGAAAGUUAGGGGAUCGAAGACGAUCAGAUACCGUCGUAGUCUUAACCGUAAACUAUGCCGACUAGGGAUCGGGSGRUGUUUCUAUAUUGWCUCGCUCGGCACCUUACGAGAAAUC
rnacentral:rRNA from 1 species